rnacentral:rRNA from 1 species
CCUACGGGAGGCAGCAGUGAGGAAUAUUGGUCAAUGGACGAGAGUCUGAACCAGCCAAGUAGCGUGAAGGAUGAAGGCCCUAUGGGUUGUAAACUUCUUGUAUAUGGGAAUAAAAUGUGCAACGUGUGGGAUUUUGAAUGUACCACAUGAAAAAGGAUACGCUAACUACGUGCCAGCAGCCGCGGUAAUACGGAGGUUCCGAGCGUUAUCCGGAUUUAUUGGGUUUAAAGGGGGCGUAGGUGGAUUGUUAAGUCAGUUGUGAAAGCUUGCGGCUCAACCGUAAAAUUGCAGUUGAGACUGGCAGACUAGAGUACAGUAGGGGUAGGCGGAAUUCGUGGUGUAGCGGUGAAAUGCGUAGAUAUCACGAAGAACACCGAUUGCGAAGGCAGCUCACUGGACUGCAACUGACGCUGAGGCUCGAAAGUGUGGGGAUCAAACAGGAUUAGAUACCCGUGUAGUC